rnacentral:rRNA from 1 species
AUUACGAGCCUAGCUUAAAACCCAAAGGACUUGUCGGUGUCCCACCCUACUAGAGGAGCCUGUUUUAUAAUCGAUACCCCCCGUUAUACCUAACCAUUUUUACCCGCCUGUAUAUCGCCGUCGCAAGCCUACCAUAUGAAUGAGUAAUAAUAGGCUUAAUAGCUUAACCCCUACAACGUCAGGUCAAGGUGCAGCUUAUAAAAUGGUAAAAAUGGGCUACAAUUUCUAAAUUAGAACAAACGAACUGCCACAUGAAAUAAGGUCACAAAGGUGGAUUUAAUAGUAAAUAGGAAGCAGAGAGCCCUAUUAAACCCGGCCCUGGGACGCGUACAAACCGCCCGUCACCCUCUUCAAUAGCACCAACUAGCUUCAUAACCUAACACAGCAUCUUAGAGGAGGUAAGUCGUAACACGGUAAGUGUACUGGAAAGUGCACUUGGAAUAA